UCUCCACCCGAGACUCAGUGAAAUUGAACUCGCUGUGAAGAUGCAGUGUACCCGCGGCAAGACGGAAAGACCCCGUGAACCUUUACUAUAGCUUGACACUGAACAUUGAGCCUUGAUGUGUAGGAUAGGUGGGAGGCUUUGAAGUGUGGACGCCAGUCUGCAUGGAGCCGGCCUUGAAAUACCACCCUUUAAUGUUUGAUGUUCUAACGUGGACCCGUGAUCCGGGUUGCGGACAGUGUCUGGUGGGUAGUUUGACUGGGGCGGUCUCCUCCUAAAGAGUAACGGAGGAGCACGAAGGUUGGCUAAUCCUGGUCGGACAUCAGGAGGUUAGUGCAAUGGCAUAAGCCAGCUUGACUGCGAGCGUGACGGCGCGAGCAGGUGCGAAAGCAGGUCAUAGUGAUCCGGUGGUUCUGAAUGGAAGGGCCAUCGCUCAACGGAUAAAAGGUACUCCGGGGAUAACAGGCUGAUACCGCCCAAGAGUUCAUAUCGACGGCGGUGUUUGGCACCUCGAUGUCGGCUCAUCACAUCCUGGGGCUGAAGUAGGUCCCAAGGGUAUGGCUGUUCGCCAUUUAAAGUGGUACGCGAGCUGGGUUUAGAACGUCGUGAGACAGUUCGGUCCCUAUCUGCCGUGGGCGCUGGAGAACUGAGGGGGGCUGCUCCUAGUACGAGAGGACCGGAGUGGACGCAUCACUGGUGUUCGGGUUGUCAUGCCAAUGGCACUGCCCGGUAGCUAAAUGCGGAAGAGAUAAGUGCUGAAAGCAUCUAAGCACGAAACUUGCCCCGAGAUGAGUUCUCCCUGAGACUUAGAGUCUCCUGAAGGAACGUUGAAGACGACGACGUUGAUAGGCCGGGUGUGUAAGCGCAGCGAUGCGUUGAGCUAACCGGUACUAAUGAACCGUGAGGCUUAACCUUACA
rnacentral:rRNA from 1 species